rnacentral:rRNA from 1 species
ACUACGGGAGGCAGCAGUGAGGAAUAUUGGUCAAUGGGCGGAAGCCUGAACCAGCCAAGUAGCGUGCAGGAUGACGGCCCUACGGGUUGUAAACUGCUUUUAUACGGGAAUAACGCGCCUUACGUGUAGGGCUUUGCAUGUACCGUAUGAAUAAGGACCGGCUAAUUCCGUGCCAGCAGCCGCGGUAAUACGGAAGGUCCGGGCGUUAUCCGGAUUUAUUGGGGUUAAAGGGAGCGUAGGCCGCAUGUCAAGCGUGCUGUGAAAUGUCCGGGCUACACCCCGGCCAGCCGUGGAAACUGGCUGUCUUGAGAUGUCGAGAGGUAUGCGGAAUGCGCAGUGUAGCGGUGAAAUGCUUAGAUAGUGCGCAGAACUCCGAUGGCGAAGGCAGCAUACCGGCGGCGAUCUGACGCUGAGGCACGAAAGCGUGGGUAUCGAACAGGAUUAGAUACCCCAGUAGUC